rnacentral:tRNA from 1 species
GCGUCCUUGCACAGAAUUGGUAAUGUAGCGAGCUUUUAACUCGUAACCCAUUGAGGUAUUGUAGGUUCAAGUCCUACAGGGCGCA